rnacentral:rRNA from 1 species
CAGAGACAGGUGGUGCAUGGUUGUCGUCAGCUCGUGUCGUGAGAUGUUGGGUUAAGUCCCGCAACGAGCGCAACCCUUACGGUUAGUUGCUACGAAAGAGCACUCUAGCCGGACUGCCGUUGACAAAACGGAGGAAGGCGGGGACGACGUCAAAUCAUCAUGCCCCUUACGUUCCGGGCUACACACGUACUACAAUGGCGCAAACAAAGGGAAGCGAGAUCGCGAGAUGGAGCAAACCCCGUAAAAGGCGUCCCAGUUCGGACUGCAGGCUGCAACCCGCCUGCACGAAGUUGGAAUUGCUAGUAAUCGCGGAUCAGCAUGCCGCGGUGAAUACGUUCCCGGGCUUU